rnacentral:rRNA from 1 species
UUUAUGGAGAGUUUGAUCCUGGCUCAGAGUGAACGCUGGCGGCGUGCCUAAUACAUGCAAGUCGAACGAUGAAGCUUCUAGCUUGCUAGAGUGCUGAUUAGUGGCGCACGGGUGAGUAACGCAUAGGUCAUGUGCCUCUUAGUUUGGGAUAGCCAUUGGAAACGAUGAUUAAUACCAGAUACUCCCUACGGGGGAAAGAUUUAUCGCUAAGAGAUCAGCCUAUGUCCUAUCAGCUUGUUGGUAAGGUAAUGGCUUACCAAGGCUAUGACGGGUAUCCGGCCUGAGAGGGUGAACGGACACACUGGAACUGAGACACGGUCCAGACUCCUACGGGAGGCAGCAGUAGGGAAUAUUGCUCAAUGGGGGAAACCCUGAAGCAGCAACGCCGCGUGGAGGAUGAAGGUUUUAGGAUUGUAAACUCCUUUUGUUAGAGAAGAUAAUGACGGUAUCUAACGAAUAAGCACCGGCUAACUCCGUGCCAGCAGCCGCGGUAAUACGGAGGGUGCAAGCGUUACUCGGAAUCACUGGGCGUAAAGAGCGCGUAGGCGGGAUAGUCAGUCAGGUGUGAAAUCCUAUGGCUUAACCAUAGAACUGCAUUUGAAACUACUAUUCUAGAGUGUGGGAGAGGUAGGUGGAAUUCUUGGUGUAGGGGUAAAAUCCGUAGAGAUCAAGAGGAAUACUCAUUGCGAAGGCGACCUGCUGGAACAUUACUGACGCUGAUUGCACGAAAGCGUGGGGAGCAAACAGGAUUAGAUACCCUGGUAGUCCACGCCCUAAACGAUGGAUGCUAGUUGUUGGAGGGCUUAGUCUCUCCAGUAAUGCAGCUAACGCAUUAAGCAUCCCGCCUGGGGAGUACGGUCGCAAGAUUAAAACUCAAAGGAAUAGACGGGGACCCGCACAAGCGGUGGAGCAUGUGGUUUAAUUCGAAGAUACACGAAGAACCUUACCUAGGCUUGACAUUGAGAGAAUCCGCUAGAAAUAGUGGAGUGUCUAGCUUGCUAGACCUUGAAAACAGGUGCUGCACGGCUGUCGUCAGCUCGUGUCGUGAGAUGUUGGGUUAAGUCCCGCAACGAGCGCAACCCCCUUUCUUAGUUGCUAACAGGUUAUGCUGAGAACUCUAAGGAUACUGCCUCCGUAAGGAGGAGGAAGGUGGGGACGACGUCAAGUCAUCAUGGCCCUUACGCCUAGGGCUACACACGUGCUACAAUGGGGUGCACAAAGAGAAGCAAUACUGCGAAGUGGAGCCAAUCUUCAAAACACCUCUCAGUUCGGAUUGUAGGCUGCAACUCGCCUGCAUGAAGCUGGAAUCGCUAGUAAUCGCAAAUCAGCCAUGUUGCGGUGAAUACGUUCCCGGGUCUUGUACUCACCGCCCGUCACACCAUGGGAGUUGUGUUUGCCUUAAGUCAGGAUGCUAAAUUAGCUACUGCCCACGGCACACACAGCGACUGGGGUGAAGUCGUAACAAGGUAACCGUAGGUGAACCUGCGGUUGGAUCACCUCCUUU